UACGUAGGGGGCAAGCGUUGUCCGGAAUUAUUGGGCGUAAAGAGCUCGUAGGCGGUCUGUCGCGUCUGCUGUGAAAACUCGGGGCUUAACCCCGGGCCUGCAGUGGGUACGGGCAGACUAGAGUGCGGUAGGGGAGACUGGAAUUCCUGGUGUAGCGGUGAAAUGCGCAGAUAUCAGGAGGAACACCGGUGGCGAAGGCGGGUCUCUGGGCCGUAACUGACGCUGAGGAGCGAAAGCGUGGGGAGCAAACAGG
rnacentral:rRNA from 1 species